UACGAAGGGGGCUAGCGUUGCUCGGAAUUACUGGGCGUAAAGCGCGCGCAGGCGGUCUUCCAAGUCAGUGGUGAAAGCCCGGAGCUCAACUCCGGAACUGCCAUUGAAACUGUGAGACUUGAGGACGAGAGAGGUGAGUGGAAUUCCCAGUGUAGAGGUGAAAUUCGUAGAUAUUGGGAAGAACACCGGUGGCGAAGGCGGCUCACUGGCUCGUAUCUGACGCUCAGGCGCGACAGCGUGGGGAUCAAACAGG
rnacentral:rRNA from 1 species